rnacentral:rRNA from 1 species
UAAGGAAUAUUGGUCAAUGGACGCAAGUCUGAACCAGCCAUGCCGCGUGAAGGAUGAAGGUCCUCUGGAUUGUAAACUUCUUUUAUCUGGGACGAAACACUCUGAUUCUUCAGAGCUUGACGGUACCAGAGGAAUAAGCACCGGCUAACUCCGUGCCAGCAGCCGCGGUAAUACGGAGGGUGCAAGCGUUAUCCGGAUUCACUGGGUUUAAAGGGUGCGUAGGUGGGUUUGUAAGUCAGUGGUGAAAUCUCCGUGCUUAACAUGGAAACUGCCAUUGAUACUACUGGUCUUGAAUUAUCUGGAGGAUAGCGGAAUAUGUCAUGUAGCGGUGAAAUGCUUAGAUAUGACAUAGAACACCAAUUGCGAAGGCAGCUAUCUACAGGUUGAUUGACACUGAGGCACGAAAGCGUGGGGAUCAAACAGG